CAAACCACGUUGAAUACGUUCCCGGGUCUUGUACACACCGCCCGUCACGUCAUGAAAGUCGGGGGCACCCGAAGUACCCUGUUUACAGGGUCCUAAGGUGAAUUCGGUAAUUGGGACG
rnacentral:rRNA from 1 species